GACGAACGCUGGCGGCGUGCUUAACACAUGCAAGUCGAACGCUGAAGUCCUGGCUUUUGUCGGGUUGGAUGAGUGGCGAACGGGUGAGUAACACGUGGGUAACCUGCCCUCUUUUUUGGGAUAACGCCCGGAAACGGGUGCUAAUACUGGAUAUUAACUGGCCCUUGCCUGGGGGUUGGUGGAAAGGUUUGUUCUGGUGGGGUAUGGGCCUGCGGCCUAUCAGCUUGUUGGUGGGGUUAUGGCGUACGAAAGCUUUGACGGAUAGCCGGCAUGGGUGGGUGACCGGACACAUUGGGAGUGAGGCACGGGCCAGACUGAGACAGGGGGCAGCAGUGUGGGAGAUUGCGCAGUGGGCGAAAGCCGGAAGCAGGGGCGACGCGUGAGGGACGUAGGCCCGCGAAUUGUAAACCUCUUUGGCGCAUAAACAUGCCUCAACUGUGGGGUGUGAUGACGGUAGUGAAUAAAGAAGCGCCGGCUAACUACGUG
rnacentral:rRNA from 1 species